rnacentral:rRNA from 1 species
UACGCCCUACGGGGGAAAGCAGGGGAUCUUCGGACCUUGCGCUAUUGGAUGAGCCUAUGUCGGAUUAGCUAGUUGGUGGGGUAACGGCCUACCAAGGCGACGAUCCGUAGCUGGUCUGAGAGGAUGAUCAGCCACAUCGGGACUGAGACACGGCCCGAACUCCUACGGGAGGCAGCAGUGGGGAAUAUUGGACAAUGGGGGCAACCCUGAUCCAGCCAUGCCGCGUGUGUGAAGAAGGCUUUCGGGUUGUAAAGCACUUUCAGUGAGGAGGAAAACCUUAAGGUUAAUACCCUUGAGGCUUGACGUUACUCACAGAAGAAGCACCGGCUAACUCCGUGCCAGCAGCCGCGGUAAUACGGAGGGUGCAAGCGUUAAUCGGAAUUACUGGGCGUAAAGCGCGCGUAGGUGGUUCGAUAAGCGAGAUGUGAAAGCCCCGGGCUUAACCUGGGAACGGCAUUUCGAACUGUCGGGCUAGAGUGUGGUAGAGGGUAGUGGAAUUUCCUGUGUAGCGGUGAAAUGCGUAGAUAUAGGAAGGAACACCAGUGGCGAAGGCGGCUACCU